UUUAUCCUACGGGGGGCAGCAGUGGGGAAUAUUGCACAAUGGGGGAAACCCUGAUGCAGCAACGCCGCGUGAGUGAUGACGGCCUUCGGGUUGUAAAGCUCUGUCUUCAGGGACGAUAAUGACGGUACCUGAGGAGGAAGCCACGGCUAACUACGUGCCAGCAGCCGCGGUAAUACGGAGGAUCCGAGCGUUAUCCGGAUUCAUUGGGUUUAAAGGGUGCGUAGGUUGUUUUAUAAGUUAGCGGUGAAAUACCGAUGCUCAACAUCGGGGCUGCCGCUAAUACUGUAGGACUAGAGAUCGGAUGC
rnacentral:rRNA from 1 species